UUUUUUUUUAUCUUUGCCACAUUUCUUCGAGGUAGAGGUUUCGGCAUCUGCCGUUUGGUGAUGGAAAAUUGUGUGUUUUGAAUAAUUCUGCAGGGAAUCCUGCAGCAUGGUUUGCCCUCAAACUCUGAAAAGUUGCUGGCACUGAAGAACAAGGUAACAUAGUUUGUUUAGACAAACAUUAUGUUUCUUCUUUAUUUUUCUAGUUUUGCCAAGAAAGUGUAACAUCCAUAGUUUGUUUCCUUCUUUUCAGGCAACCAUCAAUGUUUCAGGGCAGAAGUUCAAUGCUCUGGUGAUUGAAAAUUUCGUCUUGAGGCAGCCAUCCAGUGUGAAAGAAGUGAGCAUUUUGUAGAUUUUAUUUUGCUUUCAGUUGCAGCUGCACAACAAGAAUGUGUUGUUCACAUGAGUAAACAAACACCACAGGAAUUCUGGAAGUGCGAUGUCGAUGUCGAAGAGCAGCAGGUGAGGGGUCUCUAUGGAUUGAACAGUUCGGAGCCAAACAUUCUGUUCGCGAUGUGCUGCGGCACCAGAUCUUCGCCAGCAGUAAGUCCAUGCACUCCUAAACCCCUUAGUGAGUGAAUGACCAUACUCCUUGAAGUACCACGCAUGUUUUACCCUCCUCCUUGAAUGCUUGAAAUUUCUACCAGAUUUAUCACCAGUGAAAUCUGAAUUUUGUGUUGUACAUGCACAUAUUGUGAGUUGCAGCUGAGGAUAUACAAGGCGGACCGCGUGAUGAUGGAUCUGGAGAAGGCGAAGCUGGACUACCUGCAAGCAUCGCUGGUGGUGACCUCGACGAGGAGGCUGAUGAUCCCGGGCCUGAUACACUCCAACAUGCACGACUUCGCCAAGAACAUGGAGUCGCUGCUCCGGUGGAUCUGCGACCAGCUCCCCACAUCUUGGUCGCUCAGGAAAUCCAUGGUGGACUGCCUCAGGGGACACCAGGGCCACCUCAAGGUUGAAGACGUCGUGGAGGUGAUCCAAUAUGAUUAUGAGUUUCAGUACCUGUUGCCCAUGUGAACAUGGAUGCUAUUGUUGUAACUUAAGUGGCACCGCAUAAACGGCGUACAGAUUUCCUUGUAUAUAUUGUUGUCUUAGAGGUGGAAAAAGGUGGUUUCAUGCAUAUAGUUUUUGGGAUGAAAAUCUUUAUUUUUGUAUCAAAAUAAAAAAAAAUAGUUAUCAUUUCUUGUACGGUGAAUGGAGUAUUUGAGAGUACUUUGAGAGUACAUAAAAAACAUUGCCGAUUAUAAUUUAGUUUAUUCAUGUCGAGUUUCUAUUUUUUGCACACUAAACCUUUAUGGCUCCUCCACUUGCUACUGCUCCUUUAAAGGAAUGUUGGACACCCGCCUCUUAACGUCCCAUCUGUGUGUUUUAGCCAUCUGAAUGCAGUACAUACCUCAACCGCCCGAUCUUCGCCUCCCUUUCCGAUCUCUCUCCCGUCGCCGCUGCUGGACGACGCGGCCGUCGGUGGCAGCAGGACCUGCUGCUAUGCGGCGGCGACUUGGAGUGAGCAACGGCGACGGUAAAACACGACGACAUGGCAUCGAUUCCUGAUCCUAAGCGGCGGUUCAUGCAUGGCUGUAGCAGCAGCCGGCCAGAUGCAGCUGAUGCGGGAGCGGGACGUGUGCUAGCUACUCGCCUUGAUCUGCUGCACGCGGACUGCUAGCGCGGGCAUGGUGGCCGUGGGUCCUGCUCUGGUGUGCUGCAUGCCCCGUGUGCUAGCUAGGCUAGGGUGCCGCGGCACUGGGCGGAGCACGGAGGCGGCCGGUCCUCGGUUCUUCGUCCCGGUCGUCGUGGCGGAUCUUGCCUGAGUUGGUGGCGGCUGGCCAGGGCGCUCCCCAAAUCCGGCCCGUCGGGAUCUAGGGAAGUCCCAGGUGGUUGGCCCUACUGUUUUCCGUGCUCCAGAACCUCGAUCUGUUGUAGCCUUCUCGAUCUGCUGCAGCCUUCUCGAUCUGGACACCGACAGUUCCGGUCUUCCUCUCGGAUAUCUCAGCUUUUGGCACAUGCACUACCGGAAUAACCUUAUAUGCCUACGGCCAUAUCUAUGCCGACGGCUGCCGUAGGCAUAGAUGAAGCUAUGCCGACGGCCUGGCGAAUACCGUCGGCAUAGAAAAGCCGUCGGCAUAGCUUCAUCUAUGCCUACGGCAGCCAUAGGCAUAGUACGGCCGUCGGCAUACAUCGAUCUAUGCCUACGGCAGCCGUAGGCAUAGUUAGGCCGUCGGCAUAGAGGUGGCCCUGGUGGCUCGGGGACAGACGGUGGGCUGACGCCGUCAAAUCUAUGCCGACGGCCCUGACGGCGGCCGUCGGCAUAAAUAUCAUCUGUUUUUUUAUUAGGAGCUGCCACGCGGCAGAGCUAUGCCGACAGCAAAGCCGUAGGCAUAGUUAUCCAUCUUUGCCUACAGCAAGGCCGUAGGCAUAGCCCCGCCACGUGGCGCCUCCUGGUAGCCCCGAGAACUAUGCCUAGGCAUGGCCCUAGGCAUAGAUAUCAUCUGUUUUUUAUUUUAUAUUAUUUUUAUUUUUUUAAAAGUUAAAAUUUGAAUAAUUUAAAUCUAACUUAUCUAAACUUAAACAUACACAAAUUAUACAUCGACUUGGGGUAGAAUUUUCCAUAGAUUAUUAAUAUCCAAUUUAUUUUUAUUUUUGAGUAUGUUAGAAAUGUGACCUCGUGUACUUUUGCAUAUAUGUCCUUAUACUUUGUUAAAAACAUAAGUAAUUGAUACUUGGAUCGAUUUUGACAAAUUUUAUAUAGUUUCUUAUCAGAAUCUUGAAAGGAUUAUGUUGCUAUACUAUGUUUCAAAUUUGAACUAACUUAAAUCAUGUUUGCUUCAAAUUUACAGGAAACACCAUUUUGUUUUGAUUUUUUUUGUAUAUUUUGAGAAAAAACCCUUCGGGGGGUAGCAAUGCCACCAGAGCAUCGCGUCGGGUCCUCAUACAUGUCUUAAGGUGUGGUGGCACGUAUAAAGAGGCAAUACGCGGCUCCGGUGUGAGGUCCUCCCCCUCACGGACGGCAAUGAAAUCGAAGUAAUCCCUCUACGGUUUUGGCGUUGCAUGAAAUAGUUCUGAACACUCGGAGUGUGACCAAUUCAUGAGAUUUUUACACAGUGCAAACACAUGUGAUAUAAUAGGUGUGGCAAUUUCUUAUAUUUUUUAAAGAUGCAAGAUUAUGUGAAAAACCCCCCACUACGGAUUGUUCUUCGUGUGUCUACGAGUGUGGCCAGGGGCCUUCGGGGGCUAGCCAUGCCACCAAAUCUUGCGUUGGCUCCUCUUACAUGUCUGGAAGUGUGCUGUCAGGUGCAAACACCCGUCAUGCGGCUCCGGAGUGUGACCCAUUUCACGGAAGGCGCUGUCGCCAGCACUUGGACAGGGGAAACAGCCGUGCCGGGUCGACACGAGGGGGAUCCGAUGGUGGGUUGGGCCCAGACCUUGUUUUAUGAAAUGUUCCUAUGGGCUGACCUAUCACAAUCAGGUGGAAAUGUCCGUUGGUCAAAGGCCGUCCGGUGUAAGUCAAAGGCCUAGAUCUCCGGGUCAACGGGGCUAGGUAAGGCCGGUUGGGGGCCUUCGGGGGUAGCAAUGCCACCAAAACUUGCAUUGUGUCUUAACAUAUAUAUACAAGUGUAAUGGAGGGUUGAAAUAGCCAACAGAGCAACAUGCAGCACACUUCCUUCACAAAAUCACACACGUUCUUUCUCGAUAACCAGAUACUACCUUGGAGAUGGUGUAGUUUACAAGCGGCCUCCUGUCAGGCUUCUAUGAAAUAUGCUCAAACUUUUACAAGGUCCAUAUGACUAAACCGUGCCAGGUCCCGAGGAUUUCCGGCAUCGCAUGAUUUCCCGUGGAUUUUAACGGCUAGAUCCGGCAUGCUGCCGAGGUACAUUCACCCUAUGGUGGUGGGCCUACCCCUCCUUUGGUUGCACUAGGCCUACACAUACCGCAAAGACAUCAUAUGUGAUUUAACAAAACACUUUUGGACAUCAUUUCAGGUGGUCGCCGUGCAGAUCUGCAAUUUCCCGCGUUGAAACCCUACGGAUGCAGUAAAUGUCUCAAAUAUUGCAGGCGGGCCCGAAAAAUGCCAUGUACUGGCACGUGUCAUGCAAUUGCCCCCUUUGAGAGCACGAGAAGUUUCGAGGUCAACGGAGCAACGGGCAACGCACUUCCUUCACAAACCGGACACGUUCUCUCUCGAUAGCCAGAUACUACCUCGGAGAUAGUGCAGUUUACAUGCAACCUCCGGUCAAGCUUCUACGAAACGCGCUAAAACUUUCACCGCACCCUACAAGGGCCAUAUGAUGACACCAUGCCAGGUCCUGAGGAUUUCUGGCAUCAUAUGAUUUUUGGUCGAUUUUAAUGGCUGGAUCCGGCAUGCCGCCGAGGUACAUUCGCCUCUCGGUGGUGGGGCAUGCCCCCCUUGGGUUGCACUAGGCCUACACAUACCGCAAAGACAUCAUAUAUGAUUUGGAAAACCACUUCUGGACAUUAUUUCAGGUGGCCGCCGUGCAGAUCUGCCAUUCCCGCAUUGAAACCCUACGGAUGCAUUAAAUGUAUCAAAUAUUGCAGGCGGGCCCGAAAAAUGCCAUGUACUGACACAUGUCAUGCAAUUGCCCCCUUUGAGAGCACGAGAAGUUUUGAGGUCAACGGAGCAACGGGCAACGCACUUCCUUCACAAACUGGACAUGUUCUCUCUCGAUAGCCAGAUAGUACCUCGGAGAUGGUGCAGUUUACAAGCGACUUCCGGUCAGGCUUCUACGAAACACGCUAAAACUUUCAGAACACCCUACAAGGGCCAUAUGACGACACCGUGCCAGGUCCCGAGGAUUUCCGGCAUCGUAUGAUUUUCGGUAGAUUUUAACCGCUGGAUCCGGCAUACCGUCGAGGUACAUUCGCCCCCCGAUGGUGGCGCCUACCCCUCCUUUGGUGCUGUCGUUCGAUGCUGAGGGACGUCGCACGUAUCUUCGUCGACGGUGACGGGGAAAGCCGAAGAGAUGUUCCGUGCGACUGUCCGUAGGUCCCCGCCCGGACUCAUAGUCGUCAUACCGGACGCACCAUUCCCCGAUCCAUUCCCUCCCCACCUCACCUCACCAUCUCCUCCUCGCCGCCCUCCUCUCCCGUCACGGAUCGUCGACGGUCGGUCCAAGAGGGUAGAAAAAAAUAGAAGAAAAACAAAAGGGAAAACACAAUUGUAUGAGCUUGGUUUCUAUUGGUGGAAACGUUUGUGCCACGGAUCGAUGACGUGGCGCAAAUCCAUCCAUCUAGCUGUCCACCCCACAACCAUCCAUCCAUCCAUCUAGAGAAAAGGAGAAAAAAAGAAAAAGAAAAAAGAGCCCACCCCUCUGUCUCUCGCACCUCGCUCUCUCCCCGCGAACCUCUCUGUCUCUCGCGAAUCCUCUCUCCCCCACGAACCCCUCUCCCUCGCCGCCGCCACCACCGACGCCGGCUGGUUCCGGCGAGCUCCGGCGGCGCGCAGCACACCCCCGAGCUCCCCUAGGUCCACUCCACCCUCCCCUCCGUCCAGAAUCGGCGCUCCCGUCCUCCACCAACCCCGUGGCUAGCUAGGGUUUCGACCGCCACCCCUAACAUCGCCGGGAUCAGCCAGAUCCGGCGACGGCGAGGCCAGAGCUCGACAGAUCCGUUACGGGCGUGGCGCAGGUACGUCCUUCCCCUCUUUCCUCGCCCGGAUCCACCCUCCCCACCUCACCUUCUCCUUUCCUUCCCUUGCUGCAGGUCACCUUGGUGCGGUCUGGACGGCGGCGACGGCAGGAGGGCGCCGUCCUUCCUACUCGAGGAGGCGGAGGACGAGGGGCGCACCUAGCUGGCGGCCCUGUCCUGCUCGAGGAGGCGGGCGCUGCCGAGCUCAAGCACGGCCACGACGACCCACCUCGGCAGGUAGCACCUCCAUCUCCUCCGCCUCCUUCCUCUGCUCACUACUGCUGCUGCUAAGUAGAGGAAUAUGUGAUGCACUGCACCACACGAAGCUGGCUAUAUCCUUCACCGGUAGCUAGUUUGAUCUAACCUGAUGGACAAGCUAACAUACAUAGCAGUAGUUGCUUUUUUAUCAUCCCCCCACCGGCCAGAGCACAACGUACACAUACACACAGAGAGGAAAUCUCUAGUUAGCUUUUUUUAGUUUGUCCUCUAAUUUGUUAUUGGCCAUAGGCUCGUGACAAUCUCUUUUUUUCUUUGUUGAUGCUUACAAUCAAUUCCAUAAUUUACCAGUGUAUAAGUAUAUAGCCCCUAGCCAUGUCUACUUCCAGUCCUACUCGGACACACAUAUUCACAUGUAUUCUGCACGUACGCGUGGAAUCACGUUCAAGGGAACUUUAGCACUACUUUACAAUGUACAUGAAGAAUCGGUUUACUCCAAUUGACAAGUAAAGUACAGUGGCCUAGUUGGAUCCUGUGACAAAUCAUGUGACAAAUUCACAUCCUAGGCUUGAUUCCUGGCCGAGCCAGCUUUUACUUCAAUUGACUGCAUGAUUAAAGUAUAGAUAUAGAUAGUAUAUUUGUACUGGUAUGAUGAACAAGAGCUUCCAGUUAAUUACAUAAUAUUGGUGAUGUAGUUUUACUUGCUGUGUAUGCUUGCUUAGUUGUCCAUUGGGCCGCUCUCUUGUAUCGUUUGAGUGCGCCAAUUAGUUCGGCCAGCCUCUAUGAUUUAUUAUGUAGCUUUUGGAGUGCUUCUAUCUGUCACGCCCCAAAACAUAGCAGUGACAAUUGCCACAUGCUUAUAAAUUCAAUUCAAAUUUAUAAGCAUGUUAAGCCAUCAGGUUAACCAAGGUAGUACACUGGAAUAAUUUUUAUUCAUUAUCAUAGGAACGACUACAAGUGUUCUUGCUAGUACAUGCAUGCAAGUUUCUUUAUUUCAUCCCCUCCCGUAGUACUACUUCUACUGUUCACCAUCAUUUCCAUUGCUCAUCUCUGCAAAAAGAAAAGAUAGCAAGAAUGAGUAUGAUAACAUACUCAGCAAGCACACAUGUAGCAGGGAAAAACUGUGACCGGUACAAUGUUUUUGCCAUCGUGAUGCCUUAGUGUUAGAUUUUUCAUUAGGACUGGAACAUUAGAAGAGGAAAUAUUAUCUCAAAAGAUCACCAAUAUAUCAUCCCUAGCUUCUGCACAAGAUUAGCUAGUCUUGCAUGUGCUAUUCUUAGCAUAACGAGUGUACAGGUCCAACAAGUAAAAGUGAGGCGUACUUAGUCAGAACAAGGCAUGUGGUACAAGAUAGAAAGAGAGAAAAGACAAAUUAAUCUAGAGGAGUUCUUGGGAGAUAGGAUGCAUGCAUCUUUCACAACUAGCAUGCAGAACCAAACCACCAUGCGUACUGUACAAGGACACACUAGCUGAGGUGAAAGAAUUAACAACAAGAAUAGUGCUACAGACUAGCCAUAUAGAGAAGUACUAGCAACAGCGGCAUGGCAUGAGUAAAGAAAGAGAAGGAACAGGACAUCUAGAGAAGCUAGAUGGAACGCAUGCUUGCCUUCUCCCGAUUCUCUUGACACAGCAGCAAGAUUUCUAACGCCUGCUCUGCACCAGCAGCUACGGCUCUACUACUACUACCUCUAAUGAAGAGAGACAAUGGUUGUGGUGU
rnacentral:lncRNA from 1 species